rnacentral:rRNA from 1 species
AUUUGGGCUACACACGUGCUACAAUGGACAAUACAAAGGGCAGCGAAACCGCGAGGUCAAGCAAAUCCCAUAAAGUUGUUCUCAGUUCGGAUUGUAGUCUGCAACUCGACUACAUGAAGCUGGAAUCGCUAGUAAUCGUAGAUCAGCAUGCUACGGUGAAUACGUUCCCGGGUCUUGUACACACCGCCCGUCACACCACGAGAGUUUGUAACACCCGAAGCCGGUGGAGUAACCUUUUAGGAGCUAGCCGUCGAAGGUGGGACAAAUGAUUGGGGUGAAGUCGUAACAAGGUAGCCGUAUCGGAAGGUGCGGCU